rnacentral:rRNA from 1 species
CAGUAGCCACGGGAAUACGUAGGGUGCAAGCGUUGUCCGGAAUUAUUGGGCGUAAAGAGCUCGUAGGCGGUUUGUCGCGUCUGCUGUGAAAUCCCGAGGCUCAACCUCGGGCUUGCAGUGGGUACGGGCAGACUAGAGUGCGGUAGGGGAGAUUGGAAUUCCUGGUGUAGCGGUGGAAUGCGCAGAUAUCAGGAGGAACACCGAUGGCGAAGGCAGAUCUCUGGGCCGUAACUGACGCUGAGGAGCGAAAGCGUGGGGAGCGAACAGGAUUAGAUACCCCAGUAGUCCCUGUCUCUUAUAC